UUGGAGGGCAGUCUGGUGCAGCAGCGCGGUAAUUCCAGCUCCAUAGCGUAUAUUAGGUUGUUGCAGUUAAAAAGCUCGUAGUUGAAUUUCGGGAUUCAUCCGUUGGUCGGGCUUCACGGUCCGUACUGGUGUGAUGGGUUCCUACCUUCUGAAUAACCGGCAUGCCAUUAAUUUGGUGCGCCGGGGAAGCAGAACUAUUACCUUGAAAAAAUUAGAGUGCUUAAAGCAGGCAAGUGCCUGAAUAGGUUAGCAUGGAAUAAUAAAAUAGGACGGCAUGGUUCUAUUUUGUUGGUUUCUAGGAUCACCGUAAUGAUUAAUAGGGAUAGUUGGGGGCAUUAGUAUUCAAUUGUCAGAGGUGAAAUUCUUGGAUUUAUUGAAGACUAACUUCUGCGAAAGCAUUUGCCAAGGAUGUUUUCAUUAAUCAAGAACGAAAGUUAGGGGAUCGAAGACGAUCAGAUACCGUCGUAGUCUUAACCAUAAACUAUGCCGACUAGGGAUCGGACGAUGUUAAUUUUUUAAUGACUCGUUCGGCGCCUUACGGGAAAC
rnacentral:rRNA from 1 species